UGUGGCUCAGGGGUAGAGCGCUUACCUAGCAUGUAUGAGGUACUGAGUUCGAGCCUCAGCA
rnacentral:tRNA from 1 species